GCGCCUGCGGCGGAUGCAGCAUAGCCCCAUAACGGUCCUGCAGGCGGCCUGGCUAUGUACCAUCUGGUGAUCGGCAAUUUUGCCGAUUCAAAGAAU
rnacentral:sRNA from 1 species